GGAGCCUCAUGCAGUCGAGCGGUAGAAGAUUGUUUCUUGGGUGACGAGCGGCGGACGGGUGAGUAAUGCUUGGGAACAUGCCUUUAGGGGGGGACAACAGUUGGAAACGACUGCUAAUACCGCAUGAUGUCUACGGACCAAAGGGGGGACCUUCGGGCCUCACGCCUAAGAUUGGCCCAAGUGGGAUUAGCUAGUUGGUGAGGUAAUGGCUCACCAAGGCAACAUCUCUACUGGUUUGAGAGGAUGAUCAGCCACACUGGAACUGAGACACGGUCCAACUCCUACGGGAGGCAGCAGUGGGGAAUAUUGCACAAUGGGCGAAAGCCUGAUGCAGCCAUGCCGCGUGGUGAAGAAGGCCUUCGGGUUGUAAAGCACUUUCAGUCAGGAGGAAAGGUUACGUUUUAAUAGAACGUAGCUGUGACGUUACUGACAGAAGAAGCACCGGUAACUCCGUGCCAGCAGCCGCGGUAAUACGGAGGGUGCGAGCGUUAAUCGGAAUUACUGGGCGUAAAGCGUACGCAGGCGGUUGAUUAAGCGAGAUGUGAAAGCCCCGGGCUCAACCUGGGAACUGCAUUUCGAACUGGUCAACUAGAGUGUGAUAGAGGGUGGUAGAAUUUCAGGUGUAGCGGUGAAAUGCGUAGAGAUCUGAAGGAAUACCGAUGGCGAAGGCAGCCACCUGGGUCAACACUGACGCUCAUGUACGAAAGCGUGGGGAGCAAACAGGAUUAGAUACCCUGGUAGUCCACGCCGUAAACGAUGUCUACUAGAAGCUGGGGUCCUCGGACAACUUUUUCAAAGCUAACGCAUUAAGUAGACCGCCUGGGGAGUACGGCCGCAAGGUUAAAACUCAAAUGAAUUGACGGGGGCCCGCACAAGCGGUGGAGCAUGUGGUUUAAUUCGAUGCAACGCGAAGAACCUUACCUACACUUGACAUCCAGAGAAUCGCUAGAGAUAGCUUUGUGCCUUCGGGAACUCUGAUACUGCUGCAUGCUGUCGUCAGCUCGUGGUGAGAUGUGGUAAGUCCCGCAAGCGACCCCUAUCCUUGCUAGCAGUAUGCUGACUCUAAGGAGACUCGGUAAGAUGUGGACGACGCCAAUCAUCGGG
rnacentral:rRNA from 1 species